rnacentral:tRNA from 1 species
GUGGUUGUGGCUCAGCGGUAGAGUGCCUGCCUAGCAUGUGCAAAAGCCUGGGUUCGAUCCUCAGAACCACA